AACGAACGCUGGCGGCAGGCUUAACACAUGCAAGUCGAGCGCCCCGCAAGGGGAGCGGCAGACGGGUGUGUAACGCGUGGGAAUCUACCCAUCUCUACGGAAUAACGCAUGGAAACGUGUGCUAAUACCGUAUACGUCCUUCGGGAGAAAGAUUUAUCGGAGAUGGAUGAGCCCGCGUUGGAUUAGCUAGUUGGUGGGGUAAAGGCCUACCAAGGCGACGAUCCAUAGCUGGUCUGAGAGGAUGAUCAGCCACACUGGGACUGAGACACGUCCCAGACUCCUACGGGGGGCAGCAGUGGGGAAUAUUGGACAAUUGGCGCAAGCCUGAGCCAGCCAUGCCGCGUGGGUGAUGAAGGCCCUAGGGUUGUAAAGCUCUUUCACCGGUGAAGAUAAUGACGGUAACCGGAGAAGAAGCCCCGGCUAACUUCGUGCCAGCCGCCGCCGUAAUAC
rnacentral:rRNA from 1 species